GCAAUUUUUAGUAAGUCAGUGUUCGAAGGUUUUCAAAAUGUAUAAAAGGAGUUGUUAACAAAAAAGGAAAACGCUGUUACCAACUCUCAUUUGGCAGUGCACCACCCGGUGGCUCUACAUUUUGGGUUUUACUUCGGAGUACUCUCAGUGUUUUUUUCAGGGGGCACUCGCAUGGUUCGCUCCUCAAUGCCGCCUUCAUCUUCGAGUUGGCCAAAGUCUGACAACUUUUAUGACAUGCUCGCAAACAGGAGCAGCUCCAAAAGCAACAGUAAUGGUAAUGGCGAUGCUUAUGGCAACUGCAGCAACAUCAGCAUCAAAAACCAACAAUAACUACAGGAGGAACAGGAACAUUGAACUUCGUUUCGCGUAACGCCAAGUUGUCAAUGUUGCGUGUAAAUAGGGAGUUGUCUAUGUUGCUGUUUUGGCAAGGGAGCCCAGCACACAAUGUUCGCAUUGCUCAAAAAUAGGCGAAUCGUAGAAGAAAAGUGUGUACUAAAGAUAUUAAAAAUUAUUUUUAAGGUAGAAGUACAUUUUUUCUACCCCGUAAA